UUUCGAGAGCUACCUAUUAAACUUGAAA
rnacentral:sRNA from 1 species